AGAGUUUGAUCCUGGCUCAGAUUGAACGCUGGCGGAAUGCUUUACACAUGCAAGUCGAACGGCAGCAUAGGUGCUUGCACCUGAUGGCGAGUGGCGAACGGGUGAGUAAUACAUCGGAACGUGCCCAGUCGUGGGGGAUAACGUAGCGAAAGUUACGCUAAUACCGCAUACGAUCUAAGGAUGAAAGCGGGGGACCGUAAGGCCUCGCGCGAUUGGAGCGGCCGAUGUUAGAUUAGGUAGUUGGUGGGGUAAAGGCUCACCAAGCCGACGAUCUAUAGCUGGUCUGAGAGGAUGAUCAGCCACACUGGGACUGAGACACGGCCCAGACUCCUACGGGAGGCAGCAGUGGGGAAUUUUGGACAAUGGGCGCAAGCCUGAUCCAGCCAUUCCGCGUGCAGGACGAAGGCCUUCGGGUUGUAAACUGCUUUUGUACAGAACGAAAAGCCUUGGGUUAAUACCCUAGGGUCAUGACGGUACUGUAAGAAUAAGCACCGGCUAACUACGUGCCAGCAGCCGCGGUAAU
rnacentral:rRNA from 1 species